rnacentral:rRNA from 1 species
CGUCUAUAUACGUAUAGCAUAUCAAUAAGCGGAGGAAAAGAAACUAACAAGGAUUCCCUUAGUAACGGCGAGUGAGGCGGGAAGAGCUCAAAUUUGAAAUCUUCAAGGUUCUACCUUGACGAAUUGUAGUUUAAAGAAGUGUUUUCUGUUAGAGGAGUAGCAAAAGUUCCUUGGAAUGGGACAUCAUAGAGGGUGAGAAUCCCGUAUUUGGUUAUUCUUUCUAGCUUUGUGAUACACUUUCAAAGAGUCGGAUUGUUUGGGAAUGCAGUCCAAAAUGGGUGGUAAAUUUCAUCUAAAGCUAAAUAUUGGCGAGAGACCGAUAGCGAACAAGUACCGUGAGGGAAAGAUGAAAAGAACUUUGAAAAGAGAGUUAAACAGUACGUGAAAUUGUCAAAAGGGAAGCGUUUGACACCAGUGUUGUUUUUUCCGAAAAUCAAUUAAGAGUGGCUUGAUUUUGUGUUGUAUUGACCUUAUCAGCUUUCUUCACUCUUUUUCGAGUCUUUCUUAAUGCACUUUUCGGUUGACAAGUCAACAUCAAUUUCUUUUGUUGUAAAAGGGUAUUUGGAAGGUGGCUUUCUUUUCGGAGAAAGUGUUUAUAGCCUUAUACCUCUACAAUCGGAGAGAUUGAGGUCUGCAGCGUAGAUCCUUUGGGGCUAGAUACACUUGUGCUAAGUUAUAGCUUUUCAUAGACAACUUGUUGACUAUGUUUAGUCAUGUAGCUUACCCGCUUGUGCUAUUUUACCUACGCUUAGGAUGUUGAGUCAUCACACAUCUCU